AACCCAUGGUGAGAACAUCUUCUUAACAAAUCCUUGUACCUUUCCCAAGCCUCAUAUAGUGAUUCAAAAUCCAAUUGCAUAAAAGAGGUGAUGUCAUUACGCAGCUU
rfam:Theobroma cacao cultivar Matina 1-6 chromosome 5, whole genome shotgun sequence.